AGUAUACUCACCUUCUUCUCCAAAAAUCUAUCAGCAAAUCAAGAAGCUUUUAGUAGAAAAAUAUAGUGAUCAUCUAGCUCAGACCGUUGCUGCAAUUUUGAGGUAUUUGUUUUUGAAGUUUUCUUCGUGAAAAAGAAUGAUAAAACAUAUUGAGUGUUGAUUUUGACUUCGAUACUAUUUUGAUAAUGGAUAUUCGAGAUUCUUUGUCUUUUAAGUGUUACUCUGAAGAUCAUCUCAAUUUGGUUCACAAAAAAGUUUAGUUAUAAAAUGGACUUUACUCCUUACUGUGAGGUAUUUCAAGAAGUUGAAAAAGGAAGUCAAGAAAGGCCAAGAGUUGGAAUGAAGGAUCAAAUGAAGAUCCAUGAGCGCAUAACAAUUUUCUACUUAAAGGCCACCCUGGUACGACUUGCAUAACAGAGAAUGAGAGAAAUGGAGAAAUAAACAAAACAGAAAUAGAGAAUUCAGCCAUUUUCACAGGAAACAACCCAUGAUAAUAGGUUUGGAUCAACCCGCAACAAAUCUCCUCAUAUACCCUCCUUUUCUCCUGAGAGAUGUCUCAUCAAUAAAUUGUUAUAGUUUGAUUUGGAGAUGCUUGCUUCCCCAAAAUAGUGUCUGGGAGGGAGCAAAGGUUUACUAUACUCGAAUGUACGUGUUAUAAAAUUCUUUCUUUUGUUUUGAAUUAUGUUAAAAUUUCUAUUUAGAUAUGGAAUUAUGCAUCACUGAUGCAUUAGUAAACCCAUAGGUAUUCUCUUUUUCAGGAUUUAUUGUUAUUUACAGUUUUUGAAAUUAUGGUUAUUUUCAAGUA